AUCAUCCAACAACAUGGAUCCUCUCCUCUGCAUGCUCCUAUAUCACUUACUCCACUGGGGUUGAGGUCCGGGGACUGCAAUGACCAUGGGAUGAGCUUGAUUCAAUAUCUGCAGUACUCCAUAGAAAGAAAAUUCAAGAGAUUACAAAAACUUGGAAAUGAAGCUGCAUCCCGGAAUGCAUCGUUUUCCGCCUUUACGGCCCACCAAACGUAACUGUGCUCCUUUGGUGCCGGAUCAUGAAUCAUGGAAAGUGAUUGGGAAUGAGACCACUUGGGUCAGCGACCACUCGAGGUAUGACCGCUAAACAGGACACAUUGCCCCCAACCUAGCUUGUGCCGAGAUGACCGCUCAUAUCACUCGGAAGGAAUGAGGAUGGUCCCGUUUAAGAUUACAACGUCCGGUGUCGAUCGUCAAUCGCACAGAGUCUCGUCAGCUCAUGUCAUUUGUCUUUAGCACACUGUGAUAUUAACAACCUCCUUCCAAGACUCUGAAUUCCUGGAGGAGGCAACACAUCAUGAGCUGACUGACGAGGUUUGGCGGCUCGGAUGACGUUGCCACGUCCAGGAAAAUACACAUGAAUGUUAAUGAUGCGCUAUAUAGAUAGGUGAAAAUAUCCUGCUCAUUUCAAAAUGUUAUGGAUACAAGUGGCCGAAAUGAGUUUUCUCUGCGGGGUGUCUGGGCUCUUCCUUAGAGACAUGUACGGUGAGAAGCCCGGUUUUCCGAGAGGGGGCUCAGUAUAGCUGCUCUUCAACAUUGAGAUGAGGCAGAUGAGGGGGUUUGGGGAUCUGAUUUGAUACCUCUUAGACGCCUCUCUGGUGAGGUAUUUUGGGGCACGUUCCACGGGGAGGAGGGCCAGGGCACACUGGAGAGAUUCCGGUUACCCUGGAAACGCUUCAGCAUCCCCUUGGAAGAGUUGGAUGAUGAAGUGGCUGGGGAGAGGAAGCCUGGGCUUCUCUGCUAUAGCUGCUGCCCCCACGAUCCGCUCCUCGGAAAAGCAGAGGUAAAUAGAUGGAUGGCUGGAUUUGAAAAUGUUAUGGAUAUAGUAGAGUAUAUAAUGUAAUGUAUUAUAAUAUGUGGUUGUAUAACAGAACCGAUAAUUACUGUAUUGACUUAUCGCUCGAUGAGAGAAAUGGACACAAUAAUUUUUUAUUGACUUGAUAAAUUGUUUACAUACCUCAUCAACAUUCAGUCGGCUGCUUCGUUCCCUCCCAUCAGUCACUGUGCUUGCUGCUGUGUUGGUACUCACUUAUGCAUUGCAUGCUGACAGCGGAACGACCUUUAAAAACCGUUUAAAUGGUUUGACUCGACUGUUCCUAUCCGGUUCGCAUAUGUCCCAUCAGUUCAUCGUCACACGAAACUUUUUUUCUCAUGAGGCCCAGCAGUGAGCCGUAGCACUAGUAAUGGUCAAGUAGUGCUAAUGCUGGCCGGCACAACCAUGCAUUCGGCUACCUAUGCGGCAUUUAAAAGUGAAAGUCUGCAGCUGCAUGUUGUUCAUUUAAUUUCAAAUCUAUUGUGGUGGUUUUUGGAGUCCAAAAGCUCAGAAAUGUGUCAUCUCCCAAUAUUUAUGAUCCUCACUGCAGUUAGCUCCCCGGGAACCUAUGAUUGCAUUCUAAAUAACAAAAUAGAUUGUGGCUAAAUACAGGUACAGAUUUCUUAGUCAUUGACUGAGAUCAAUUUUAUGCAAGAAGAGAAUCAGGGAAAAAAAAAAAAAAAAAACAAGUCAAUACCAGUACAUCAUCAAGUCUCACAUGAACAAUGAACUGUUUUUCGUGCUUUUUUUCUGCGUUUGUUUUUGUGACACUUAUUCCAAAAAGGCUUUAGCCUAAGUUUGUUGUCAUGAUUCUGUUGAGCACCUUUUGCACCCCCACGUCAACACCCCUUAAUGAUUCCUCCAGAUUGUCUGUUUCUUCUUUUAUUGUGACGAUAAAUCUGAUGUAACAAGCUGAAAACAGCCAUAAAUCUGGACUGGGGCUCAGAUUGCAACGCACCAAUCCUCCUGGGGGGAGCGCCGUAAAAGCGCCGAGUGUGUGUGACAGUGUUAGUGUUGUUAUUGUGGCCUGGCAACUUUUUUUUAUUUCUAAGCCAACACUUAACGUCAAGCAGAUGAUUGCCGUGUUGUCAGGGGCUGAGAGACAGACUCACAAACAAAAGUAAAGAAUGAGUGUUAAUAUUGGUAUUUACAUAUCAGAGAGACGUGUCAUCUGAGAGGAGACCAAGGGCAGCAAGAAAAUGAAGCAGUUUACAGCAUGUUAGAAACAAAUAAAAAUAAAAAGUGAACAGACAAAUAUUAUCCAAGAGGAGACUUCGGCCAGCAAGAAAAUGAGCCACUUUACUUGAGUUUGCCAAAAAAUGAGAAUGGGCGCGUGAAUAACAUGUAUUAACUCUCCAAUAAGGAAAAUACUCUUCUCCAAGAAGAGACUAAGGGAAGCAAGAAAGUGGACAUUACAAGACGUGCAAACAAGCAACAAAAUUAGAGAACAAAUGCAUAUGACAGUGUUACUAUUUUCAUUGUAAUAAAUAAAGAUAUUUACUCCUCAGUAAAGGCGGAUCAAUCUUUAUCUGAGAGGGACAAAGUGCACAAGAAAGUGGAGUACUGAGAGAUGUAUAGAAUGAGUGGAAAUACAGGUAUUUACAUAUACUCUAGGGAAGCAGAAUAAUUCAACAAGCCCUGCAAGAAUUGAAACAACCAAAAAUAGAACGAGGGUACUGGUGUUAAUUUUCUGGUGAAAGUAUGUGAGAAUGUGAGAGGAGACUAAUGGCAUCAGAAAAAUGAACUGCUGCAAUAAAUGCAGAGCAAGAAAAUUAAAACCAAAAGGAAAUGAACGAGUGUUAAUACAGGUAUUUACGGGGGAGACAACUCUUAUCUGAGAUGAGACUGAGAGGCAAGAAAAGUUUUCUUGUUUCUAACAAAUAAGGAGAAAGGUAAAUACUUCUUUGUAAGGAGAUAAUUAUUAUUCACGAAGAGAACCUGCUUUUCUAUUGACCUUAAUCUCCCCUUGGAUAAAAUAUGUCUUCUUACCGAGGUGUCAAGUCAAGUCAGCUUUACUGUCAAAUAUGUUCUAUGUUCAAGCACAGAUGAAUAUGUUUAUGGGUAUGUUUAUCCUCCUCUUUGUUGCAUUUCAGCCUUCUGUUUUCCUGUUGCCCUUAGUCUCCUCUUGGGUAAACUGUCUCUCUUUUCCCGAAAGAAAAUUUGUCUUUUUUUUUUUGUUUUUUUAAAGCAGUAAUGUUUCAUACUGCCCUUAGCCUCCUCUUAGAGAGAAGUCAUAUCCUUUCCGAGAAGUAAAUACCUACCGGUAUAUAAUUACCCUUUGUUUUCUAGCUGCCCUCAGUGUCCUCUUGAAUAAAACGUGUCUUACAGAGAAUGACAGUUUUAUCUUGGUCGUCCUCCCCUUUUGACAGUGUUAUUUUGCAACACUACAUUUUCUUGCUGCCCUUAGUCUUCUCUUUGGAUCAAAUUUGUCAUCACAAGCUGAUAUCUCACUAAGCGAGGAAUGCUUGCAACGUAGCAAAUUUUGGGUUUUCGUCAGGGUUCAUAAAAGGUUCCAAUGAUGCUUGCAGACAGUUUUUACCUGAUGCAAAUAGUUUGUCUUGUUGUGAAUAAAUUUGAACAUGUUCAAAAUUUCUAUGAAAAUGUUGAAAUUUGAACCCAAACCCAAAGUUCGUUAUGUUUACAAGCGUCCGCAAACAAUUGUCGCUCAGCGAGAUACCAGGUUUACUGACUAAGCAUACUGAUAUGUUACUAUAUUACUAUUAAAGUAUGAUUUAUGACAUGAAUCCGUUUUCAUAUGAGUAUCCCAAAGAACUUGAGGGAUUGAGGCCAACGAGUCUGUUGGAAAUAAGAGAGUAUAAUUGUGCUGGCGGUAAAAAAUGUAAAAUAAUAAA